CUGUCACCUUCGACUAGAGCUGAAGCUGUGCACUCCCUCCUGGGAAAACAAUGCUCUGGCAGAUGUGCAACAUCCACCUCUCACUGUCUACCUCUCAGUCUACUUCUCCCAAAACUGCCCUGCUUCCAGGGACCUGAGCUGAAGCUGCACAUUGCCUCCUGAGGAAAGGAUGCCUUGGCGAAGCUCCUCCACCUACCCCUCCCAGAUGCUGCUACAUCCUGCCCCUCUAGGCCAGAGCUGAAGCAAUGCCAGGCAUCCUGGGAAAACAGUGCUUUGGCCAUCGAGAGCAGUCAUGCCUCCCCAGUGCCUAAGUUUAAG
rnacentral:lncRNA from 1 species